rnacentral:rRNA from 1 species
UGGUCAAGUUAUUAAGGGUGCAGGGCGGAUGCCUUGGCACUAGGAGCCGAUGAAGGACGUGAUAAGCUGCGAUAAGCUUCGGGGAGUUGCACGUAAACUUUGAUCCGAAGAUUUCCGAAUGAGGAAACUCACUUAGAGUAAUGUCUAAGUAUCAUUAAGUGAAUACAUAGCUUAAUGAGGGGAACUCAGGGAACUGAAACAUCUAAGUACCUGAAGGAAGAGAAAGAAAUUCGAUUCCGUAAGUAGCGGCGAGCGAACGCGGAUUAGCCCAAACCAAUAAAGUUUUCUUUAUUGGGGUUGCGGACAUAUCAUAACGAAGAGGUAUCGUAAUUGAAGAGGUUUGGAAAGACCCACCACAGAAGGUAAUAGUCCUGUAUGUUAAACGAGAAGACUUCAGAUAUGAUCCAGAGUACCACGGGACACGUGAAACCCUGUGGGAAGCAGGAGGGACCACCCUCCAAGGCUAAAUACUACCUAGUGACCGAUAGCGUAUAGUACCGUGAGGGAAAGGUGAAAAGAACCCCGGGAGGGGAGUGAAAUAGAACCUGAAACCCUGCACUUACAAGCUGUGGAAGCACAUUUCUUGUGUGACCGCGUACUUUUUGUAGAACGGGCCAACGAGUUACGUUUAAGUAGCAAGGUUAAGCACUUAA